CUGGGCCUUGCGGCGAUCGAGCGCUGCAGGAAAAGGCAAGCCUCCCGCCUCACCUGGCUGCGUGCGGGAGACGCCCCCACCAAAUUCUUCAUGGCCAAGAUCAGCUCAAGAAGGCGCAAGAACUUCAUCAGUGCCCUAAAAGUGGGAGACAACAUUGUGACUGCACACGUCGAGAAGGAAAAGGCAAUACAUGAUCAUUUCAACUGCAUCCUAGGAUCCACCCAACACCGAACCACGUCGAUCAACUGGGAUGAGCUGUGUAUGCCUUCUGUGCAAGCAAAUGGCCUGGACAACCCGUUCUCCGAGGAAGAGGUGUGGGCGGCGAUAAAGGAUUCACCAGCGGAGAAAUCACCAGGGCCGGAUGGGUUUUGCGGCGUCUUCUUUCGGAGUUGUUGGGGCAUAAUAAAGACAAAUAUCAUGCAGGCGUUCCAGCAGUUCUACCACCUGGCCGGGCAAAAUUUUGGGGCUCUGAACUCUGCGAUCAUCGCACUCAUCCCCAAGAAGGACGGAGCGGAGUCCAUUGCUGAUUACAGACCGAUUAGUAUGAUACAUUCAAUUGCGAAGCUGUUCUCCAAGGUUCUAUCAAUCCGACUUGCUUCGGUGGUGCAGUUGAUCAUCUCGCCCGCCCAGACGGCUUUUCUGAAGACCAGAUGCUUGCACGACAGCUUUGUCUACGUCCAAAAUUAUGUCAAGAGCCUGCACCACAGGAAAACACCGGCAGUUCUUCUUAAGCUAGACAUCUCGAGAGCUUUCGACAAUGUUUCAUGGGAAUAUCUCCUGGAGCUGCUCGAAAGGCUAGGAUUUACUGCUCGCUAG
rnacentral:rRNA from 1 species